rnacentral:rRNA from 1 species
GGAAUCACUGGGNGUAAAGGACGCGUAGGCGGAUUAUCAAGUCUCUUGUGAAAUCUAACGGCUUAACCGUUAAACUGCUUGGGAAACUGAUAAUCUAGAGUAAGGGAGAGGCAGAUGGAAUUCUUGGUGUAGGGGUAAAAUCCGUAGAUAUCAAGAAGAAUACCUAUUGCGAAGGCGNUCUGCUGGAACUUAACUGACGCUAAUGCGUGAAAGCGUGGGGAGCAAACAGGAUUAGAUACCCUGGUAGUCCACGCCCUAAACGAUGUAUACCGGUUGUUGCUGUGCUAGUCACGGCAGUAAUCCACCUAACGGAUUAAGUAUACCGCCUGGGGAGUACGGUCGCAAGAUUAAAACUCAAAGGAAUAGACGGGGACCCGCACAAGCGGUGGAGCAUGUGGUUUAAUUCGAAGAUACGCGAAGAACCUUACCCGGACUUGAUAUCUAACAAAUCAUCCAGAGAUGGAAGAGUGUCUGCUUGCAGAAAUGUUAAGACAGGUGCUGCACGGCUGUCGUCAGCUCGUGUCGUGAGAUGUUGGGUUAAGUCCCGCAACGAGCGCAACCCACGUCAUUAGUUGCCAACGGUUCGGCCGAGCACUCUAAUGAGACUGCCUUCGUAAGGAGGAGGAAGGUGUGGACGACGUCAAGUCAUCAUGGCCCUUAUGUCCGGGGCGACACACGUGCUACAAUGGCAUAUACAAUAAGACGCAAUAUCGUAAGAUGGAGCAAAUCUAAAAAAUAUGUCCCAGUUCGGAUUGGAGUCUGCAACUCGACUCCAUGAAGCCGGAAUCGCUAGUAAUCGUAGAUCAGCCAUGCUACGGUGAAUACGUUCCCGGGUCUUGUACUCACCGCCCGUCACACCAUGGGAGUUGAUUUCACUNG